CAAAAAGUAGUUUAACUAAAAACAAAAGCUUUGGAAGCUUUAAAUUUACCAUGUAACUUUUUGA
rnacentral:tRNA from 1 species